UCGAGCGGACAGAUGGGAGCUUGCUCCCUGAUGUUAGCGGCGGACGGGUGAGUAACACGUGGGUAACCUGCCUGUAAGACUGGGAUAACUCCGGGAAACCGGGGCUAAUACCGGAUGGUUGUUUGAACCGCAUGGUUCAAAUAUAAAAGGUGGCUUUUAGCUACCACUUACAGAUGGACCCGCGGCGCAUUAGCUAGUUGGUGAGGUAACGGCUCACCAAGGCAACAAUGCGUAGCCAACCUGAGAGGGUGAUCGGCCACACUGGGACUGAAACACGGCCCAAACUCCUACGGGAGGCAGCAGUAGGGAAUCUUCCGCAAUGGACGAAAGUCUGACGGAGCAACGCCGCGUGAGUGAUGAAGGUUUUCGGAUCGUAAAACUCUGUUGUUAGGGAAGAACAAGUACCGUUCGAAUAGGGCGGUACCUUGACGGUACCUAACCAGAAAGCCACGGCUAACUACGUGCCAGCAGCCGCGGUAAUACGUAGGUGGCAAGCGUUGUCCGGAAUUAUUGGGCGUAAAGCGCGCGCAGGCGGUUUCUUAAGUCUGAUGUGAAAGCCCCCGGCUCACCCGGGGAGGGUCAUUGGAAACUGGGGAACUUGAGUGCAGAAGAGGAGAGUGGAAUUCCACGUGUAGCGGUGAAAUGCGUAGAGAUGUGGAGGAACACCAGUGGCGAAGGCGACUCUCUGGUCUGUAACUGACGCUGAGGCGCGAAAGCGUGGGGAGCGAACAGGAUUAGAUACCCUGGUAGUCCACGCC
rnacentral:rRNA from 1 species